AAUACAUGCAAGUCGAACGCUUUUUCUUUCACCGGAGCUUGCUCCACCGAAAGAAAAAGAGUGGCGAACGGGUGAGUAACACGUGGGUAACCUGCCCAUCAGAAGGGGAUAACACUUGGAAACAGGUGCUAAUACCGUAUAACACUAUUUUCCGCAUGGAAGAAAGUUGAAAGGCGCUUUUGCGUCACUGAUGGAUGGACCCGCGGUGCAUUAGCUAGUUGGUGAGGUAACGGCUCACCAAGGCAACGAUGCAUAGCCGACCUGAGAGGGUGAUCGGCCACACUGGGACUGAGACACGGCCCAGACUCCUACGGGAGGCAGCAGUAGGGAAUCUUCGGCAAUGGACGAAAGUCUGACCGAGCAACGCCGCGUGAGUGAAGAAGGUUUUCGGAUCGUAAAACUCUGUUGUUAGAGAAGAACAAGGAUGAGAGUAGAACGUUCAUCCCUUGACGGUAUCUAACCAGAAAGCCACGGCUAACUACGUGCCAGCAGCCGCGGUAAUACGUAGGUGGCAAGCGUUGUCCGGAUUUAUUGGGCGUAAAGCGAGCGCAGGCGGUUUCUUAAGUCUGAUGUGAAAGCCCCCGGCUCAACCGGGGAGGGUCAUUGGAAACUGGGAGACUUGAGUGCAGAAGAGGAGAGUGGAAUUCCAUGUGUAGCGGUGAAAUGCGUAGAUAUAUGGAGGAACACCAGUGGCGAAGGCGGCUCUCUGGUCUGUAACUGACGCUGAGGCUCGAA
rnacentral:rRNA from 1 species